AUUGAACGCUGGCGGCAUGCCUUACACAUGCAAGUCGAACGGUAACAGGUCUUCGGAUGCUGGCGAGUGGCGAACGGGUGAGUAAUACAUCGGAACGUGCCCGAUCGUGGGGGAUAACGGAGCGAAAGCUUUGCUAAUACCGCAUACGAUCUACGGAUGAAAGCAGGGGACCGCAAGGCCUUGCGCGGACGGAGCGGCCGAUGGCAGAUUAGGUAGUUGGGAGGAUAAAAGCUUACCAAGCCGACGAUCUGUAGCUGGUCUGAGAGGACGACCAGCCAAACGGGGACUGAGAAACGGCCCAGACUCCUUCGGGAGGCAGCAGUGGGGAAUGUUGGACAAUGGGCACAAGCCUGAUCCAGCCAUGCCGCGUGCAGGAUGAAGGCCUUCGGGUUGUAAACUGCUUUUGUACGGAACGAAAAGACUCUGGUUAAUACCUGGGGUCCAUGACGGUACCGUAAGAAUAAGCACCGGCUAACUACGUGCCAGCAGCCGCCGCCG
rnacentral:rRNA from 1 species